GCCCCUGUAGCUCAGUGGUAGAGCACUCCACUUAUUCUUAUUCUUAGGAGAAGGCUGCGGUUCGGGUCCGCGCAGGGGCG
rnacentral:tRNA from 1 species